UACGUAGGCAGCGAGCGUUGUUCGGAAUUACUGGGCGUAAAGCGUGCGUAGGCGGUGUCUUAAGUUUGUUGUGAAAUCUCCCGGCUUAACCGGGAGGGUGCGGCGAAUACUGAGAUGCUGGAGUGCGGGAGGGGUAAGCGGAAUUCCCGGUGUAGCGGUGAAAUGCGUAGAUAUCAGGAGGAACACCGGCGGUGUAGACGGCUUUCUGGACCGUAGCUGACGCUGAGACACGAAAGCGUGGGUAGCAAACAGG
rnacentral:rRNA from 1 species